rnacentral:lncRNA from 1 species
AAAGAAUCUAAGAAUCUUGGACAUGAAGACUGGACAUGAAGAGGUUACAAAAACAAAAUAAAAUGGGGAAAAAAAGUCUUCUGCCCAUAUUAUCUCUUUGAAACAUUUGAAGAACAGAUUCAGAAUUUAUAUAAAGGAGGAAGAAAACAACACCACCACCAAAGGCUGCAGAAGUGAUGUGAGCUGCCCUGGCAGACGGACAAGAAAGAAAGUGAAUACUAUUUCAGAUGGAAUCUCACUGUGUCACCAGGCUGGAGUGCAGUGGUGCAAUCCCACCUCACUGCAACCUCCGCUUCCCGGGUUCAAGCGAUUCUCCUGCCUCAGCCUCCCGAGUAGCUAGGACUACAGGCGUGCGCCACCACGCCCAGCUAAUCUGUGUAUUUUCAGUAGAGACAGGGUUUCACUAUGUUGGCCAGGAUGGUCUCGAUCUCUUGACCUCGUGAUCUGCCCACCUCGGCCUCCCAAAGUGCUGGGAUUACAGGAGUGAGCCACUGCGCCCGGCCCAGACUGCCUUUUCGGUGAGAAGAACAAUUUGUGGGGUUGAACUACCUGAUGUCAAAUAAGAAUUACAGCAGGAGUUAGUUAUAUAAAAAUAGUUUCCCACAAAUACUAACAUAAGAAAUAUCAAAUAUCUUGUCAUAUUUCUAGUAUUAAAUUUCUUUUGCUUUUACAGUAAAUUGUUUGGAGGAUAUAAGGUUUACUUCUAAGGAGAUAAAAAGCAAUUGAUGCUUCCUCAAAAUAAAAAAGUUGACUCCAGCCAUGUUUUUAUUUGUUGAGAAAUAUUCUAUAUCUACACUAUGGGAUACAGACUAACAGUUAUUUACCUGUCUAUUGAGUACUUGUCACCUAGGAGUCAUCAGUAAGUUGCAUCCAUUAAACAAAGAAAAGUCAUUCAACCAGCCAUCUGGAGACAACAUGGGCAAAGGUUAACACUGAGGAGAAACUGCUGGAAGUAGAAUCCAAAUUAAGUAAGAGAAGAAACAGAGACCAGAUCCAGGUCCCCACUUGAAUCACUAUAAUUAUUGAAAAUAGCAGCUGAUACGUACCAAUAUAAAACUGAAGACUUGCUAUGACCCAGGAACUCUGGGAAGCAUGUUAUGUAAUUGCAUCUGCCUUCCUUGCUGGACUCUAAGCUCCUUGAGGACAAAGAUGUAUCCAUUGUGCCACUUCUACAUUCUCCAAGCCUAGCAGAGAACCAAGAACUAAGGGCUCAAAAACAUGUGUUGAAUUAAUUAAGAAUAUCACAGCAAAUCCUCUGAAAAACUCAGAGAUAAGUGACAUCAUCAUCCUUAUUUUAUAGAUGACAAACCUGAAAUUUGGGUCAAGAACACAGAGCCUGUGGGUGACAAACAGCAAUCCAAACCAACAAUCAGAUUCCCAAACUUGAAAACUCAUCUACUCUGCCUCACUGAUCAGUUUGUUUGCCCAGUUUCACCAUAAAAGAGUAGGUAAGAUGGGGAGUGAGGAGAGAGACACAAGGAAAAACAUCUCUUGCUUGAGACACCCUCUUCUUUCUUACUCACUUGCCACACAUUCUUUAAGGCUUAUUUCCAGCCCAAAAUUCUCCAAGAAAUCUUUUUGGACCAUACAGCUCUUUUUGUUUCUUCUGAAUACCAGCAGCCCUUAAUAUCCAUUGAAAAGAAUUAAAAAACUACCCCAGCUCUCCUGCAUAGCUCAUUCUUGUUAAGUGUAUGGAGUCCUCUGAAUUUCCCAAAAGCAUGAUAAGGUCCUAAGGGCAAGGUACCCAAUUAUUUUCCCUGUUUGCGGAACAGCACACAGCACAAAAAUGAACACAUGGUUUAGGUUCUUUGUAACUACCUAAGGUCAGAUCAGCUAGAGUGACUAGUUAAUGAUAUACAUAAUAUCAGUAUCAGACCAGGAAUAUCCUUCCUCCUCUCAUUUGUAAAAUUCUCUCAAAUAUCACCCAUUAAAACUGUGGACUUCUUCAUCCUUUUUGUGUUCAUUUAUCUAAAGUGCUAGACAAGCCAGGAGAAUGCCCUGGCCAAAGAAAAUUAAAGGAAGAAAAGGUUAUGAGCUUUUUGCUUCCUCCCAUGCACACUUUGCUUAAUUCAGGGAGCAUUUGGUUUUUAUUCCAUGAGAGACCAAGGACUCCCACUUCAAAAACAACACAAUGAUUAUGGCCAGCAAAAUUCCUAUAAAAGAGAACAUAAAGAAACUUCAGAGACAUUUAAUUGAUCUACAGUAAGAAUGGGCCAGGAUUUUUACACUCUGGAAGUAUUAGGUAGAACUGUAGUUAAAAUUAUUUAUUUUAUUACAAGAAUAGUACAAGGCUGUCUUUAUGCCAGAGUAAUUAUCCAGUUAAUUGCCCUAGAAUGAGUAUAACCCAGUUUCCAGAUACAUAACACACAUUUUGCCAAAUGUGACUUGACUUAUGCCAGCAGCCUGCAACAGUUUUAAUCUCAAAAGUUGCCAGGGAACUUAAAGGACACCCACGGGAGCCUGGGGCAAGCCCAAGACUGCACAGCAGGAAGCACAUGGAAGGGGAAGGAAGAAAAGGAAUGACUAUCAGCUGCUGGGACCAAGGAGUCCAGGAAAGUAGAACAAGGAAGGGAUGUGAGCAGAGGAAAACAAGUAGAAGAAAGGAAAAAAUAAGUAAAUGUGGUGAAGAACAAUGGCCUUCUUUUUGGCAUUAACGGAAUAAAAUAUGUUUUGGGCAUCAUAGAUGUUACUGCUCUUUUUUGAGAAUUAAAUGAAGUAUAUAAUGAGCUAGGCAAAGUGCCAAACAUAUAGUAAUAAUUUUAGGAUGUUAGGUGUUUUUUGUCCCCCAAAGGGAUGUUUGUUUGUGGGGGUUUUUUGUUUUGUUUUGUUUUUUGUUUAUUUUUUGAGAUGGAGUCUGGCUCUUAUCGCCA